rnacentral:snoRNA from 1 species
CCGAGUAUAAUUUCAGUAAUCAGUUUCUCUAGUUCCUUAGUAGAGAAGUUUCUGUCAAUGUGUACAGCACCAGAAACCAAGAGGAGGUGGCAGCAGAGUGUUCUCUGCUGAACAUGAGGUUGGCUCUUGGUGUUGCUUUGCUGCAACUGUCAUUUGCCAUUGAUGAUAGUUCUUCUCUUCCUCCAGGGGAGAGGGAGAGAAUGCAGUCUGAGUGGG